GCUUUCAGGCCUCGGAGGAAACGAUUGAAAAGCGAGAGAGACAGCAAGAGAGGAACCAGGAGGAGACCGCGGGAGCCGGGUCCUGUGCCCCUCCCCACCCCCCUGUGCCAGCCCCCGUCCCAGAGGGAGCCGAGGCCAAGGCCCGGGGUGAAGGAACCGGUCCUGCCCCCAGGUGGGGGUCCAGGGUGCAGCCCCCAAAGCAGAUUGGAGCUGGGACCAGCUCCAGCUCCCAGGCUGGGGGGCUGGUGACCCCACAUGAAAGGGGCAAGGGGUGAUGCCUCUAGGGCAGUGGGGGGAGGGGACUCGCUCUGAAGAGGCUGCUGUUCCAGGGGGGUCUGCCAGGACAGCCAGGGGCUCCCAGGUUGACGUCGGGGGUAGGCAGGGGCUGAAGGCGGCUGGAUGGGGAAUUGAGGACCUGAACUUCUGGCAAAGGGAGCUUCAGGCCAGGUGCCCCAGGGCCAGGAGCGGAUAGUGGGUAGAUGCGGUUUUGGUCCCACUCCCCUUUCCAGCGAUGGGAGCCCAGGAGCCAGCCCCCUCCCCCUCAGCUUCAGGAGCCUCCCCCCUGAUAGGAGCCAGGUCCCCCUGGAUGGGAGCAGGAGCCGCCCGUAGCGAGAUGUUCCUGGGCCACGUCUGCUCAGCUCCUGAGCCGGUGAAUCCCGCGGGGCUGCGACGCCCGGCCUGGCCUCCCCCGUUCUGAGGCUGCAGAGAGCUCGUGUAUAACCCAUGCACAGAUACUAAACCCACAA